rnacentral:rRNA from 1 species
UACGUAGGGUGCUAGCGUUGUCCGGAAUCAUUGGGCGUAAAGCGCGUGUAGGCGGCUCGGUAAGUCCGCUGUGAAAGUCCAGGGCUCAACCCUGGGAUGCCGGUGGAUACUGUCGGGCUCGAGUCCGGAAGAGGCGAGUGGAAUUCCUGGUGUAGCGGUGAAAUGCGCAGAUAUCAGGAGGAACACCAAUGGCGAAGGCAGCUCGCUGGGACGUGACUGACGCUGAGACGCGAAAGCGUGGGGAGCAAACAGG